rnacentral:rRNA from 1 species
UACGGAAGGUCCGGGCGUUAUCCGGAUUUAUUGGGCGUAAAGCGAGUGCAGGCGGUUCAAUAAGUCUGAUGUGAAAGCCUUCGGCUCAACCGGAGAAUUGCAUCAGAAACUGUUGAACUUGAGUGCAGAAGAGGAGAGUGGAACUCCAUGUGUAGCGGUGGAAUGCGUAGAUAUAUGGAAGAACACCAGUGGCGAAGGCGGCUCUCUGGUCUGCAACUGACGCUGAGGCUCGAAAGCAUGGGUAGCGA